CGGGACGGGUGAGUAACACGUGGAUAACCUACCUAUAAGACUGGGAUAACUUCGGGAAACCGGAGCUAAUACCGGAUAAUAUAUUGAACCGAAUGGUUCAAUGGUGAAAGACGGUUUUGCUGUCACUUAUAGAUGGAUCCGCGCCGCAUUAGCUAGUUGGUAAGAUAACGGCUUACCAAGGCAACGAUGCGUAGCCGACCUGAGAGGGUGAUCGGCCACACUGGAACUGAGACACGGUCCAGACUCCUACGGGAGGCAGCAGAUACCUA
rnacentral:rRNA from 1 species